GACGAACGCUGGCGGCGUGCUUAACACAUGCAAGUCGAGCGGUAAGGCCCUUUCGGGGUACACGAGCGGCGAACGGGUGAGUAACACGUGGGUGACCUGCCCUCAGCUCUGGGAUAAGCCUGGGAAACCGGGUCUAAUACUGGAUAUGACUCCAUGACGCAUGUUGGUGGGGUGGAAAGCCUUGUGCGGCUGAGGAUGGGCCCGCGGCCUAUCAGCUUGUUGGUGGGGUGANGGCCUACCAAGGCGACGACGGGUAGCCGGCCUGAGAGGGCGACCGGCCACACUGGGACUGAGACACGGCCCAGACUCCUACGGGAGGCAGCAGUGGGGAAUCUUGCGCAAUGGGCGAAAGCCUGACGCAGCGACGCCGCGUGAGGGAUGACGGCCUGG
rnacentral:rRNA from 1 species